rnacentral:rRNA from 1 species
AUUGAACGCUGGCGGCAGGCUUAACACAUGCAAGUCGAGCGGGGAGAUGUAGCUUGCUACAUUUCCUAGCGGCGGACGGGUGAGUAAUGCUUAGGAAUCUGCCUAUUAGUGGGGGACAACAUUCCGAAAGGAAUGCUAAUACCGCAUACGCCCUACGGGGGAAAGCAGGGGAUCUUCGGACCUUGCGCUAAUAGAUGAGCCUAAGUCAGAUUAGCUAGUUGGUGGGGUAAAGGCCUACCAAGGCGACGAUCUGUAGCGGGUCUGAGAGGAUGAUCCGCCACACUGGGACUGAGACACGGCCCAGACUCCUACGGGAGGCAGCAGUGGGGAAUAUUGGACAAUGGGCGAAAGCCUGAUCCAGCCAUGCCGCGUGUGUGAAGAAGGCCUUUUGGUUGUAAAGCACUUUAAGCGAGGAGGAGGCUACUUAGAUUAAUACCCUAGGAUAGUGGACGUUACUCGCAGAAUAAGCACCGGCUAACUCUGUGCCAGCAGCCGCGGUAAUACAGAGGGUGCGAGCGUUAAUCGGAUUUACUGGGCGUAAAGCGUGCGUAGGCGGCUUUUUAAGUCGGAUGUGAAAUCCCUGAGCUUAACUUAGGAAU